rnacentral:rRNA from 1 species
CCUACGGGGGGCUGCAGUGGGGAAUAUUGGACAAUGGGGGCAACCCUGAUCCAGCCAUGCCGCGUGUGUGAAGAAGGCCCUCGGGUUGUAAAGCACUUUCAGUGAGGAAGAACGCCUGGUGGUUAAUACCCAUCAGGAAAGACAUCACUCACAGAAGAAGCACCGGCUAACUCCGGGCCAGCAGCCGCGGUAAUACGGAGGGUGCGAGCGUUAAUCGGAAUUACUGGGCGUAAAGCGCGCGUAGGUGGCUUGAUAAGCCGGUUGUGAAAGCCCCGGGCUCAACCUGGGAACGGCAUCCGGAACUGUCAAGCUAGAGUGUAGGAGAGGAAGGUAGAAUUCCCGGUGUAGCGGUGAAAUGCGUAGAGAUCGGGAGGAAUACCAGUGGCGAAGGCGGCCUUCUGGACUGACACUGACACUGAGGUGCGAAAGCGUGGGUAGCAAACAGGAUUAGAUACCCUUGUAGUC